GCCGCCGCAUUCUGCCAAACAACAUGGCAGCGCGCAGAGCAGCUGUAGAGCAGCGGCGUGUUCGUGUGGUGGACGUUUUUUUUUUUCUGUUACACCGCAGCCGUCGCCGCUGCAUAGCGUAAUGGACGGUGCAGCAAAGUCCGGAGGUUACAGAAUUCAUUUGAAGAGCACACGAUGCUUACAUUUUGGCAGAAUAGCGAGCGGUAAGGCGGAUGCAACCGGGAUGCAGCGUUGAUCCAGGGGAAUCGAAAUUGUUUCGGCGUCGGCAUGUUUUCUUAAAGCAUUGCAGAGAUGAACUGAAGUGUUUUAGCACGAAUGCCCAGCUUCAACAGCAGCAUCUUUCAACUGAGUGCUGGCAUUGAGUGCUUCACUUCAGAUGAAAAACUAAAGCCACAUCCCAGGGUCAGUGGCUUUCCCAGGAACGCCUAGGACGUAGGAAUGCAUACUUAUCAUCCUUCACGCUCACACAGCAUGGCUCCCAGAAAUGGAAAGUUCACAAAGCUGCUGAAGGGCCCUUUAAUGAAGAUUACAAACACUACAAUAUGGAAGAGGAAAGUAGCACUAUCAAAGCCAGCUGUUGCACAGCUACAGCACAGGUUUUGCUUGUCAAUCACUUGGUGGCUGAGUAAGCGCGGCAUUUCGCUGCUAAGCACACGUGCAGGGGUUCCAUUCCUGGCUAUGUUGGGCACAGUUGGACUGGGGGAACAAAAUUCUUGUAUUUCGAUACAGGUUUGCUCAUUCAAAAUUACAUGAGCUUUGCUCUUUUGCGUGCAUGCGCAGUCUCUACUGACUUGCUCAGCUUCUUUGACAUGUCUCUAGCAAAAAAAUGCAUUCGUAGCAUUGUGUAUGUCCUAAGCACGGUUGCUGUAAAGUUGUCCUUGUGUUCUGCACACCCGAGUUUUGGAAACUUUGUUAACUCUAGAGCAUCGAGAAGUUCCCAAAAAAUGUCACUGCACAGUUGAAAGCGGUUAAGUGCGCUUGAGACAGUGCUUUCUAUGCUUCUCAGUGACAGGAACAUCUUCUCUGUGGGGUGCUUCAGGCUCAUUUCUUUAAAUGACCUAGCAAAUGUUACCCAUGCUGCCGGCAUAUGUGGAGCGUCAGUUUGAAUGUCAGCUAAGCAGUUUAAACAGCCCUUUUUUCUUUGAGAUUUUGUGCACAAUGUAGCCAGCAAGAUAAUAUACUACACAGUCUUCUGCAGUUGCCUUGCUGUAUGAGUGGUCCUUGCUUGUGCUGGGAAGCGCAGCCAUUGUGCUCGUGUCUUGCAGAUCAAAGCAGAGCUCUUCAAGCUUUUUCUCUAAGCGUGCGUGGAGCUUUUCUUUGUGGCACUCAUUGUCUUUGACACCAGCCUCGAGCACACCUGAAAGAACUGGCAAGAUAUCCUCCUGGGCUUCUACAUUGCCUUUGAUUGCUGCUUUCAUUGGGGCAUAGAUGGUCAAGAGCCGAAAGAUGUAGGAGAAGUUCACUAUGGUGGGGUGAUCUUCAUGUCCUCCAAAUGACGGAUGUUGCCGAAGAACCUCUGAAGUGAAAGAGACAUUUGUACAAAUAUUGUAUAAAUCAAAGCACUUGUAAGCGUAUUGUUUACUUUAAUAUUUAAUUUGCACUUAUGCAAGGCUAAAAUUGGAAGUGAAAGCAUGACAAUAAGGUUGCUUGUGUAUAUACAGUCGCCGACCAUUUUUUCAAACGUCCUAUUAUUUGGACCACCCUAAAUAUCUGGUCUCUGCCAUGUCACAGUUGCAUGCUCCAUAGAGUCAGUGUAUAACAUCAACCAAAAUUCUGGGUAUUUGAAACCCUUCUCAUUUGAUUUUCCUAACUUUUUCUUUCAAUCGUAAGCGUACAGCUACCAAAAACCACUGAAAACGCAAACAGCAUUGCUGCCAUUUUGUUUUUCUGUAGCCCUGAACCCACGUUAGCCACCCUACCCGCACUGCAUGUGUAUCAUCAGCUCAUCUCGCAUGCAGCCUUGACAGCAGGCACCUGCAGUUUCGCAUAUGGUCGGUCAUGGAAGUGACACUGGCACAGUUCACUAAUGGUGACAGUGAGACCAAGCUCUGUGCCGGACUUACUGAGGUCAAAAUAGUUCACCAGGUGCUGGAAGAUGAUGACUCGGGCUCCCACAAUGAGCAACCAGUGACUGUGCUGCCAACAACCUAUGAACUAAUGCAAGCCCUCGUGGUGCUUUCUGCUGUUUACAGCGAGAACAUCACCAUCACCGACGUGCAAGCUGAGCUUUUGGAUGGAAGCGUAGAGCACCCGAGAAACUGAUUGGCCAGCUUUUCAAGCCGCUUGGUAAAUGAAGUGACUUUUUUUACGUGAAUUCGUUUUGUCGGACACUAUCUCGCCCCUGCAGCGUUCAAUAAAUUGGUGGGCGACUGUAGAGACUUGUUAAUAUUGCUUAGGCAAAUUACAUGUGUGUUUACAUGGCCAUGUGUCAAGAAUGGAUGUUUGCAGUCGUUGAGGCUUGUUACAAAUUACCACAGCAGGCACGCUGCCCGCUGAAUGGAAUACCAAUUAUAAAUGAAGAGUUGACAUGUAUUAGCAAAUUUGCAUGGGCCAGAGAAUAAAGGCUUCUGAUGGAAUGGGUGGAAGCUUCGAAAGUCAUUAAAACACUACAGAUGAAAGCUGAGCUAUAUCGCAACCAUUGUUGCUAUAUUUGACUAUCAACCCUUCAGGCUAUGCUACCCAGACAUAAAACAGGGGAUC